rnacentral:rRNA from 1 species
GACGAACGCUGGCGGCGUGCUUAACACAUGCAAGUCGAACGGAAAGGCCCUGCUUUUGUGGGGUGCUCGAGUGGCGAACGGGUGAGUAACACGUGAGUAACCUGCCCUUGACUUUGGGAUAACUUCAGGAAACUGGGGCUAAUACCGGAUAGGAGCUCCUGCUGCAUGGUGGGGGUUGGAAAGUUUCGGCGGUUGGGGAUGGACUCGCGGCUUAUCAGCUUGUUGGUGGGGUAGUGGCUUACCAAGGCUUUGACGGGUAGCCGGCCUGAGAGGGUGACCGGCCACAGGGGUGCUGAGGGACCGCCGAGACGGCGGCGGGAGGAAGGGGGGGGUAAUAUUGAGCAAGGGGCGGAGGGCGGAUGCAGGAGCGCGGCGGGGGGGAUGAGGGCCGUGGGGGUGAAACGCGUGGUCGGCGUGGAGGGGGGGAGGGGGGGGAUAGUGGGUAAAGAAGCACGGGAGAAGUACGUGCGGGCAGCGGGGGGAAGGAGGGAAGAGAAAACGGAUGAAC